GUCAGUUGGCUUUUUAACACUCAACUGAUGUGGUAAAUUUCACCUCUUAUGGUCUAAUUGUUAUUACAGCGUUCUCUAUCAUGAAUUCAGAUUUCCUGCUAUUGGUUUUUCUUGAUAGCGCAGGAAAGAGAUUUCGAAAAUCUCUUGACUUCACCCUUAUGCACCUUUCGAACAUUUUUUUCCACUCAUUAAACUUCUAGAUUGAGUUGGACCAAAAUCUUUUCAACAAAGCUAGGAGCAAAAGCUGAAGGGUGCUUUGUUUAAGGAAGGAAAUCGCUCCUUUUUUGAGUUUGCCUGCAUUCUUUAGAUGUGCCAGUAUUGCAAAGGCAAGACUGGGUUCACAAGAUGUGUUGGGGAAGGACAUGUUUCCGGUAGCUGAAGAGGCCAAUUGGCUUUUUAACAUUCAACUGAUUUGGUAAAUUCCACCUCCUUCAUGGUCCAGUUAUUAUUACAGCGUUUUUUAUCAUAAAAUUCAGAUUUCCUGCUAUUCGGUUUUCUUGAUAGCACAGGAAACAGAGAUUUUCGAAAAUCUCUUGACUUCACCGCUAUGCACCUGUCAAACAGUUUUUUUCUACUCAUUGGAGUUUCUAGAUUUGAGUUGGUCCAUAAUCUUUUCGACAAAGCUAGGAGCAAAAGCUGACUGGUGCUUUGUUUAAGGACAGAAGCCACUCCUUUUUUGAGUUUGCCUACAUUCUCUCGGUAGAUAGGGCACUCCCCUUUAUUGUCGCACAAUCUACUUGUGGGAUUACACUGGCUAUGUUGUUGAUCUACUUUCUCUGUGGCACAAGCUGUGCUGGCAUUGCAAAGGCAGGAAUGAGUUCACAACGUUUGAAUAAGCUAUUCGACCGAUUAAAGCUAAAAGGAGAAAGAGAGAUGACUCUAGUUGUUGAGUACCCUGAGGAAUGUGUGUCGAGACGGUGAUGUUAGGACUAGUUUCUGCACACGUAAUUGGACAAGUUUCUAAAGGGGCAAGAAGAGAAGAACUUAACUACUCCAUUUUUGCAAAUAGGAAUUCAAUUACCAUGUCGGGUUUGGCAUAACCUGCUGUACACCUAUUAUUAUGUGAAGAGUUAGUAGAAUGUAUCAUAGUAUUGUAUUUUUUUCUCUCUAUAAACAUAAGAUAUAGAGGGGCAGAAUUACCCGGUUAUGUGUAUAUAAUAUUUACCGGAUACUCCAAUUUCCUAAUAAUCUCAUUUUUCAGAGUAAAAUGAUUAAUGAGAUCCUGAACUUCUUUAGGAAUAUCCUUUUCUGGAUAGUUUGAAAUGACAGAGAGAAGGAUUUGCAUUUUCCUAUUUAACUCUCCAAUUGGUAAGAGAAGGUCGUUAUCAGAUUGUCUUGUUU